AAUUGACUGUUAUAACAAAACAUGUUUAGAGAUUACUAUAACAAUUAACAAGCUUAUAAAAAGAAAGAAAUACUAACAUAAAUUCAGAUAAUUAUAUAUCUACAUUUUUUCACUUUAUUCCUUUUGUGAUCAGAUAUGGAGUAAUGGAAAAUACAAGAGUGUAGAACACAGAGCGUCACAAAUAAGAACAAGAAAAGGAUGUCUUAUGCAACAUUUGUGUUCCCUCGAGAAGAUGUUGAAGUUGAGCCCUUUGACCAUAUGAUAAAUGCUGAAAACCCCAAAAUGUACCAGAAAGUCAGGUAUGGAGAUUAUUUGAGGGAAUCCUUUGAAAAGAAUAUAGGAGGGAAAAACAAACACUGAUAUGGCAAGGAGAAAGGAAUAUGUAAUAGAAGAAUAACAAAUUUAAGAAAAGACCAGUUUGAGAAUACGAGGAAAGAAAAUAAGUGUUACCUUUUUCAUGUUUACAAUUGUGUUUGUAUUGAUAAAAAUUAGCGUAAUGCUAGAUUUCGCGAGAAGCACUUUCCCGAACAUGCAUUUUCAAUUUCUUUAUCAUGUUGACAUAUCUCUUUCCUCCAUAUAUUGUGCAAAAGCAAACAUUUUAAUUGGUCAUUACUUUAUUCUUGAUGAGUUUGGGACACUUUCUUUCCCUUUAAAUAGCACUGCUCUAAAAAUUAAUGAUCUACUAUAUAAUGUGAGAGUUUUCUCCCGAGAAGCUCACGAACCAAAAACGGCAAUUGUACCAAAAAAAUAAAACAAAAAAAGAGGUCUCACUUACCAAACAUGGGAGUUGCCACAAUAAAAGAAAAGCUGUGCUAUAUGGUACGACUCCCUUUCCGACGAAUUUGCACGACACGCUGCUACACAUAAUUUGCUCAAUGAAUAGCCUUGAAUAUUGAUGCUAGUUUAUCUGUAUUAAUAGUAAAACAAUAAAGUAAAUACUAAAACAAAAAAUAAGUAUCAAUAUUCUUUGUUGCUAUGGUCACUAUGAUCAUCAAUAAAACUACCCUCCAAAGCAGUAUUUUCUUCGGUGGGAUAAAGGUAUAAACCAUGAGAGUUUAUUUAAAUAUUAAUUAAAAGGAUAGGAUUGAUCUAUAGUACAUAACACUAUCACAACUCACAAGAGAUAUUUUGUGAUUUCUCUUCAAAUAAAAGAGAGAAUAACCUUGUCGUGCAAGUGCAGCAUAUGCACG
rnacentral:lncRNA from 1 species